UAGGAAGUACGGACGCAGGCAGGAAUGGCACCAGCAACAUCACUGGCGGUGGAAGACAAAAGCAAUCAAUUUGUUCAAGGAAAAUUCAGUCAUCUAACUGAGUGACUCAGCUAACUGGCCACAUUUCAACUGUAUCUAUUUAUGGCACACGGAAAGAGAUCAUGCAGGAACAAUAUCUAUUCUUAAGUUGCAAACAAAGCUGCCAAGUUCACAUCACUCCUGGAUUCACCCAAGGAUAGCUGGAAAUGCUCCAGAUUCAGCCUACAGUCAAG
rnacentral:lncRNA from 1 species